AUGAACGCUGGCGGCGUGCCUAAUACAUGCAAGUCGCGCGAACGGACGAGAAGCUUGCUUCUCUGAUGUUAGCGGCGGACGGGUGAGUAACACGUGGAUAACCUACCUAUAAGACUGGGAUAACUUCGGGAAACCGGAGCUAAUACCGGAUAAUAUUUUGAACCGCAUGGUUCAAAAGUGAAAGACGGUCUUGCUGUCACUUAUAGAUGGAUCCGCGCUGCAUUAGCUAGUUGGUAAGGUAACGGCUUACCAAGGCAACGAUGCAUAGCCGACCUGAGAGGGUGAUCGGCCACACUGGAACUGAGACACGGUCCAGACUCCUACGGGAGGCAGCAGUAGGGAAUCUUCCGCAAAGGGCGAAAGCCUGACGGAGCAACGCCGCGUGAGUGAUGAAGGUCUUCGGAUCGUAAAACUCUGUUAUUAGGGAAGAACAUAUGUGUAAGUAACUGUGCACAUCUUGACGGUACCUAAUCAGAAAGCCACGGCUAACUACGUG
rnacentral:rRNA from 1 species